rnacentral:lncRNA from 1 species
GGCUGGGCGCGGUGGCUCACGCCUGUAAUCCCAGCACUUUGGGAGGCCGAGGCGGGUGGAUCACGAGGUCAAGAGAUCGAGACCAUCCUGGCCAACAUGGUGAAACCCCGUCUCUACUAAAAAUACAAAAAAAUAGCUGGGCAUGGUGGUGGACGCCUGUAGUCCCAGCUGCUUGGGAGGCUGAGGCAGGAGAAUGGCAUGAACCUGGGAGGCAGAGCUUGCAAUGAGCCGAGA